rnacentral:lncRNA from 1 species
UAGGCCUUGAAUGUUUCAGUCCUCCAAAUGAAAAAGGCAAUUUCUAACAGGAGGCAUCUUGCAGAACCAGGAGACCUUUCCUGACUUGGUGAGAGGUGAACUUCAAAGGGAGAUCCAACUUGGAAUUACACAACCUAUCCAAGGUCAGUACGUCCUAAUCUGCCAGGAAGUCAGAGGCACAACUCUUUUCAUAGUAGCCACCACUAAAGUACUAGCAAGAUAUACUUCAGAGUUCCUACUGAGCC